GAUCCGUUGGUGAACCAGCGGAGGGAUCAUUACCGAGUGCAAACUCAUAACCCUUUGUGAACCUAUAUCUGUUGCUUCGGCGGCUCGCUCUCGGGCGAGCCCGCCGGUAAUAUCAGUAUCUCUGUUUGAACCCGACGAUACUUCUGAGUGUUCUUAGCGAACAGUUAAAACUUUUAACAACGGAUCUCUUGGCUCUA
rnacentral:misc_RNA from 1 species